rnacentral:rRNA from 1 species
UGCCAGCCGCCGCGGUAACACGGGGGGCGCAAGCGUUAUUCGGAAUCACUGGGCGUAAAGCGCACGUAGGCGGACUUUUAAGUCAGGGGUGAAAUCCCGGGGCUCAACCCCGGAACUGCCUUUGAUACUGGAAGUCUUGAGUCCGAGAGAGGUGAGUGGAACUCCGAGUGUAGAGGUGAAAUUCGUAGAUAUUAGGAAGAACACCAGUGGCGAAGGCGGCUUACUGGACCGGUACUGACGCUGAGGUACGAAAGCGUGGGGAGCGAACAGGAUUAGAUA